rnacentral:sRNA from 1 species
AGACGAAACGAUGCACCGGUGUUCGA